rnacentral:rRNA from 1 species
UAGUACCUACGGGGGGCAGCAGUGGGGAAUAUUGGGCAAUGGGCGCAAGCCUGACCCAGCAACGCCGCGUGAAGGAAGAAGGCUUUCGGGUUGUAAACUUCUUUUCUCAGGGACGAAGCAAGUGACGGUACCUGAGGAAUAAGCCACGGCUAACUACGUCCCAGCAGCCGCGGUAAUACGCAGGUGGCAAGCGUUAUCCGGAUUUACUGGGUGUAAAGGGCGUGUAGGCGGGACUGCAAGUCAGAUGUGAAAACCAUGGGCUCAACCUAUGGCCUGCAUUUGAAACUGUAGUUCUUGAGUACUGG